rnacentral:rRNA from 1 species
GAUGAACGCUGGCGGUAUGCUUAACACAUGCAAGUCGAACGGACUCUUCGGAGUUAGUGGCGGACGGGUGAGUAACGCGUGAGAAUCUGGCUUUGGGUUCGGGACAACCACUGGAAACGGUGGCUAAUACCGGAUGUGCCGAGAGGUAAAAGAGAAAUUGCCUGAAGAUGAGCUCGCGUCUGAUUAGUUAGUUGGUGAGGUAAAGGCUCACCAAGGCAGCGAUCAGUAGCUGGUCUGAGAGGAUGACCAGCCACACUGGGACUGAGACACGGCCCAGACUCCUACGGGAGGCAGCAGUGGGGAAUUUUCCGCAAUGGGCGAAAGCCUGACGGAGCAAUACCGCGUGAGGGAAGAAGGCUCUUGGGUUGUAAACCUCUUUCCUUAGGGAAGAACAAAAUGACGGUACCUAAGGAAUCAGCAUCGGCUAACUCCGUG